rnacentral:rRNA from 1 species
GACGUAGGGUCCGAGCGUUGUCCGGAGUUACUGGGCGUAAAGGGCGCGUAGGCGGUUAUCUGCGUCACACGUGAAAGCCCCUGGCUCAACCAGGGAGGGUCGUGUGAAACGGGGUAACUGGAGGCAGAGAGAGGCUGGUGGAAUUCCCGGAGUAGUGGUGAAAUGCGUAGAGAUCGGGAGGAACAUCAGUGGCGAAGGCGGCCAUCUGGGACAACACUGACGCUGAAGCACGAAAGCGUGGGGAGCAAACAGG